rnacentral:lncRNA from 1 species
CUUUUCCCUAGCCUAGAUCUUUUCCUUUAAAACAAGUUCUUCCCAUUUCACAAUAUCUAUUGUAUAUUUUGGCUGGAUCCCUUUUCCAUCUCAUAUAUGUGGACUUCUUUUUUUUCAGGUUUUAUUCAUUUUAUUUUUCUUGUGUAAGAGCCCCUAUGUUGUAGCUACUGCUGAAGCUUGAGUCCUCUGGACAGAGGCUCGGGUGUGGGUUUUCCCAAAAUGGUCUGUGGAUUCCUGAUAGGGAGACUUGGUGAACACUGUCUCUCUCCAGCUCUCAAUUCCUUACCCAAACAGACUAUCAUUGAAUAUCAAGAUCUUCUGCUUACCACUUACGCUUCUGGAAAUCAGCUAGGAAAAAACAAAUGGUAUGAUGCAUUUGCUCUGUAUCCUGCAUCAGAAAAAUAUGUUUUCUUAAGGUAGAACAACAUUAUAUCAUGCCAUAGAAGAUGGUGCUGAUCCAGGAGAAUCAAUCCAAUUUCAUUUAAUUCAAUUCAGUAAGUACUUUUAUUGCAUAUUUAUUUUGCAAUCAAUGCAAUGAGAGA